AUGAACGCUAGCGGCAGGCUUAAUACAUGCAAGUUGAGGGGCAGCAUGAUAUACGCGAGUAUAUUGAUGGCGACCGGCGGACGGGUGAGUAAUAGGUAGGAGACCUACCUCAUACAGGGGGAUAGCAUAGAGAAAUCUGUGGUAAUACCCCAUGAGGUUAUAUGAAUAGAGGCAUAUAAUCAAAGCAUAAGCGAUUAUGCGGUAUGAGAGAGGCCUACUGACCAUUAGCUAGUUGGUGAGGUAAGGGCUCACCAAGGCGAAGAUGGUUAGGGGUUUUGAGAGAGAGACCCCCCACAUUGGAACUGAGAGACGGUCCAGACUCCUACGGGAGGCAGCAGUAGGGAAUGUUGGGCAAUGGGCGAAAGCCUGACCCAGCCAUGCCGCGUGAAGGAAGACGGCCUUAUGGGUUGUAAACUUCUUUACUACGCGAAUAGAGGUUAGUACGAGAUACUAAUAGGAAGGUAGUGUAGUAAAAAGCACCGGCUAACUCCGUG
rnacentral:rRNA from 1 species